UGGGGUGUAGCCCAGUGGUAGAGCACUUGCCUAGCAUACAUGAGGUCCUAGGUUCUAUACCCAGCAUUGCAA
rnacentral:tRNA from 1 species